rnacentral:rRNA from 1 species
UACGUAGGGGGCAAGCGUUGUCCGGAUUUAUUGGGCGUAAAGAGCGUGUAGGCGGUUUGGUAGGUCCGCUGUGAAAACUCGAGGCUCAACCUCGAGACGCCGGUGGAAACCAUCAGACUAGAGUCCGGAAGAGGAGAGUGGAAUUCCUGGUGUAGCGGUGAAAUGCGCAGAUAUCAGGAAGGACACCCGUGGCUAAGGCGGCUCUCUAGUACGGUACUGACGCUGAGACGCGAAAGCGUGGGGAGCGAACAGG